GCGUUUGUGGUCUCGUUCUAGAAUACCUCUUUGCCAUUGAGGUGAUCCGGGAUCGAUUCACGGCAGACGCA
rnacentral:tRNA from 1 species